rnacentral:rRNA from 1 species
GACGAACGCUGGCGGCGUGCUUAACACAUGCAAGUCGAACGGAAAGGCCCUGCUUUUGUGGGGUGCUCGAGUGGCGAACGGGUGAGUAACACGUGAGUAACCUGCCCUUGACUUUGGGAUAACUUCAGGAAAUUGGGGCUAAUACCGGAUAGGAGCUCCUGCUGCAUGGUGGGGGUUGGAAAGUUUCGGCGGUUGGGGAUGGACUCGCGGCUUAUCAGCUUGUUGGUGGGGUAGUGGCUUACCAAGGCUUUGACGGGUAGCCGGCCUGAGAGGGUGACCGGCCACAUUGGGACUGAGAUACGGCCCAGACUCCUACGGUAGGCAGCAGUGGAGAAUAUUGCACAAUGGGCGGAAGCCUGAUGCAGCAACGCCGCGUGCGGGAUGACGGCCUUCGGGUUGUAAACCGCUUUCGCCUGUGACGAAGCGUGAGUGACGGUAAUGGGUAAAGAAGCACCGGCUAACUACGUG